rnacentral:rRNA from 1 species
CAUAGGUUAAUGAGGCGAACCGGGGGAACUGAAACAUCUAAGUACCCCGAGGAAAAGAAAUCAACCGAGAUUCCCCCAGUAGCGGCGAGCGAACGGGGAGGAGCCCAGAGCCUGAAUCAGUGUGUGUGUUAGUGGAAGCGUCUGGAAAGGCGCGCGAUACAGGGUGACAGCCCCGUACACAAAAAUGCACAUAUUGUGAGCUCGAUGAGUAGGGCGGGACACGUGGUAUCCUGUCUGAAUAUGGGGGGACCAUCCUCCAAGGCUAAAUACUCCUGACUGACCGAUAGUGAACCAGUACCGUGAGGGAAAGGCGAAAAGAACCCCGGCGAGGGGAGUGAAAAAGAACCUGAAACCGUGUACGUACAAGCAGUGGGAGCCUCUUUAUGGGGUGACUGCGUACCUUUUGUAUAAUGGGUCAGCGACUUAUAUUCUGUAGCAAGGUUAACCGAAUAGGGGAGCCGAAGGGAAACCGAGUCUUAACUGGGCGUUAAGUUGCAGGGUAUAGACCCGAAACCCGGUGAUCUAGCCAUGGGCAGGUUGAAGGUUGGGUAACACUAACUGGAGGACCGAACCGACUAAUGUUGAAAAAUUAGCGGAUGACUUGUGGCUGGGGGUGAAAGGCCAAUCAAACCGGGAGAUAGCUGGUUCUCCCCGAAAGCUAUUUAGGUAGCGCCUCGUGAAUUCAUCUCCGGGGGUAGAGCACUGUUUCGGCAAGGGGGUCAUCCCGACUUACCAACCCGAUGCAAACUGCGAAUACCGGAGAAUGUUAUCACGGGAGACACACGGCGGGUGCUAACGUCCGUCGUGAAGAGGGAAACAACCCAGACCGCCAGCUAAGGUCCCAAAGUCAUGGUUAAGUGGGAAACGAUGUGGGAAGGCCCAGACAGCCAGGAUGUUGGCUUAGAAGCAGCCAUCAUUUAAAGAAAGCGUAAUAGCUCACUGGUCGAGUCGGCCUGCGCGGAAGAUGUAACGGGGCUAAACCAUGCACCGAAGCUGCGGCAGCGACACUAUGUGUUGUUGGGUAGGGGAGCGUUCUGUAAGCCUGUGAAGGUGGCCUGUGAGGGUUGCUGGAGGUAUCAGAAGUGCGAAUGCUGACAUAAGUAACGAUAAAGCGGGUGAAAAGCCCGCUCGCCGGAAGACCAAGGGUUCCUGUCCAACGUUAAUCGGGGCAGGGUGAGUCGACCCCUAAGGCGAGGCCGAAAGGCGUAGUCGAUGGGAAACAGGUUAAUAUUCCUGUACUUGGUGUUACUGCGAAGGGGGGACGGAGAAGGCUAUGUUGGCCGGGCGACGGUUGUCCCGGUUUAAGCGUGUAGGCUGGUUUUCCAGGCAAAUCCGGAAAACCAAGGCUGAGGCGUGAUGACGAGGCACUACGGUGCUGAAGCGACAAAUGCCCUGCUUCCAGGAAAAGCCUCUAAGCAUCAGGUAACAUCAAAUCGUACCCCAAACCGACACAGGUGGUCAGGUAGAGAAUACCAAGGCGCUUGAGAGAACUCGGGUGAAGGAACUAGGCAAAAUGGUGCCGUAACUUCGGGAGAAGGCACGCUGAUAUGUAGGUGAAGCGACUUGCUCGUGGAGCUGAAAUCAGUCGAAGAUACCAGCUGGCUGCAACUGUUUAUUAAAAACACAGCACUGUGCAAACACGAAAGUGGACGUAUACGGUGUGACGCCUGCCCGGUGCCGGAAGGUUAAUUGAUGGGGUUAGCGGUAACGCGAAGCUCUUGAUCGAAGCCCCGGUAAACGGCGGCCGUAACUAUAACGGUCCUAAGGUAGCGAAAUUCCUUGUCGGGUAAGUUCCGACCUGCACGAAUGGCGUAAUGAUGGCCAGGCUGUCUCCACCCGAGACUCAGUGAAAUUGAACUCGCUGUGAAGAUGCAGUGUACCCGCGGCAAGACGGAAAGACCCCGUGAACCUUUACUAUAGCUUGACACUGAACAUUGAGCCUUGAUGUGUAGGAUAGGUGGGAGGCUUUGAAGUGUGGACGCCAGUCUGCAUGGAGCCGACCUUGAAAUACCACCCUUUAAUGUUUGAUGUUCUAACGUUGGCCCGUAAUCCGGGUUGCGGACAGUGUCUGGUGGGUAGUUUGACUGGGGCGGUCUCCUCCUAAAGAGUAACGGAGGAGCACGAAGGUUGGCUAAUCCUGGUCGGACAUCAGGAGGUUAGUGCAAUGGCAUAAGCCAGCUUGACUGCGAGCGUGACGGCGCGAGCAGGUGCGAAAGCAGGUCAUAGUGAUCCGGUGGUUCUGAAUGGAAGGGCCAUCGCUCAACGGAUAAAAGGUACUCCGGGGAUAACAGGCUGAUACCGCCCAAGAGUUCAUAUCGACGGCGGUGUUUGGCACCUCGAUGUCGGCUCAUCACAUCCUGGGGCUGAAGUAGGUCCCAAGGGUAUGGCUGUUCGCCAUUUAAAGUGGUACGCGAGCUGGGUUUAGAACGUCGUGAGACAGUUCGGUCCCUAUCUGCCGUGGGCGCUGGAGAACUGAGGGGGGCUGCUCCUAGUACGAGAGGACCGGAGUGGACGCAUCACUGGUGUUCGGGUUGUCAUGCCAAUGGCACUGCCCGGUAGCUAAAUGCGGAAGAGAUAAGUGCUGAAAGCAUCUAAGCACGAAACUUGCCCCGAGAUGAGUUCUCCCUGACUCCUUGAGAGUC